AUAAUUACCUGGCAGGGGAGAUGCCUCGAUCAAGGAAGUUGGGUCACUCAGGGUGAGGCUCUGCUAUUGCACUCCCUGUUGUACUGACCCCUGUAAAUUCUGUAAAUUUUGCAGUUGUAAAGAUCACCUUCAU
rnacentral:snRNA from 1 species